GACGUAGGGUGCGAGCGUUGUCCGGAUUUAUUGGGCGUAAAGAGCUCGUAGGCGGCUCGUCGCGUCGACCGUGAAAACCCGCGGCUUUAACUGCGGGCUUGCGGUUGAUACGGGCGGGCUAGAGUUCGGUAGGGGAGACUGGAAUUCCUGGUGUAGCGGUGAAAUGCGCAGAUAUCAGGAGGAACACCGGUGGCGAAGGCGGGUCUCUGGGCCAUUACUGACGCUGAGGAGCGAAAGCGUGGGGAGCGAACAGG
rnacentral:rRNA from 1 species